GUCUCAUUGACAGCCGCUAGAGGAGCUUCCGCGAUUCUCACUGUGUUCGCUGAACGUCCAUAGGAAAGCAUUGAGUAAUGCUUUCCUAUGGGCAGUUUGAAUGCGCGCGUGGCUCUUGCCACGCAUGCGCCUUCGGAGCUGAGAGGCGGAUCGGGGCAGAGAGAUCCCCAGCGCCAAGGGAGUCCAGCGCUGGAGAAAGGUAAGUGCUAAAGUAACACACUGCCUGACACACUCUAACACACACACACACUCUAACACUAGCACACAAACACACACACUAACACACACACACUCUAACACACACACUAACACACACACACUCUAACACUAACACACACUCAAACACACACUAACACACACACACUAACACACACACUCUAACACAUACUAACACAUUAACACACACACUAACACACACACUCUAACACUAACACACACACUAACACAAACACUCUAACACACACACUAACACACACACUCUAACACUAACACAUACUCUAACACUAACACACACUCUAACACUACACACACACACUACACACACACACACACACCUCUAACACACACACUAACACACACACUAACACACACACUCUAACACUAACACACACACACUCUAGCACACACACUAACACACACACACUAACACACACUAACACAUACACUCUAACACACACACACACUCUAACACACACACUCUAACACUAAUACACAGACACACACUAACACACACACUCUAACACUAACACAUACUCACUCUAACACACACUAACACACACACUCUAACACACACUCUAACACACACUCUAACACUAACACACACAUUAACACACACACUAACACACACACACACUCUAACACACACACUAACACACACACGUUUAAAAAAAAAAAAUAAUAAUCCCCCAGCCUCCUUACCUUUUGGAGAGCUGAGGGGAUUCCCUGG